UGACCUCGGAUCAGGUAGGGAUACCCGCUGAACUUAAGCAUAUCAAUAAGCGGAGGAAAAGAAACCAACAGGGAUUGCCUCAGUAACGGCGAGUGAAGCGGCCUUAAGGUGGUCCCCUUUUUCCUUGCCGCAUAUAGACAAAAUGCCGGUUGGGGAAUGGCCUUUGUCA
rnacentral:rRNA from 1 species